CUGCUCAGCAUUUGGGGACGCUCUCAGCUCUCGGCGCACGGCCCAGCUUCCUUCAAAAUGUCUACUGUUCACGAAAUCCUGUGCAAGCUCAGCUUGGAGGGUGAUCACUCUACACCCCCAAGUGCAUAUGGGUCAGUCAAAGCCUACACUAACUUUGAUGCUGAGCGGGAUGCUUUGAACAUUGAAACGGCCAUCAAGACCAAAGGUGUGGAUGAGGUCACCAUUGUCAACAUUUUGACCAACCGCAGCAAUGCACAGAGACAGGAUAUUGCCUUCGCCUACCAGAGAAGGACCAAAAAGGAACUUGCAUCAGCACUGAAGUCAGCCUUAUCUGGCCACCUGGAGACGGUGAUUUUGGGCCUAUUGAAGACACCUGCUCAGUAUGACGCUUCUGAGCUAAAAGCUUCCAUGAAGGGGCUGGGAACCGAUGAGGACUCUCUCAUUGAGAUCAUCUGCUCCAGAACCAACCAGGAGCUGCAGGAAAUUAACAGAGUCUACAAGGAAAUGUACAAGACUGAUCUGGAGAAGGACAUUAUUUCGGACACAUCUGGUGACUUCCGCAAGCUGAUGGUUGCCCUGGCAAAGGUUGGUUUCCCAGUUUCUUUCUUUGCCCUUGCUUCCUCCCAAGGCAAGUCACAUACCUCAUUGUAUACUUGGAGUGAAUUAACUAAAUCCCCUGUGCCUGCAUCAGAAAUUCAGCUGCAUUUUCGAAAGUGGGUUUGCACUGUCACUGCAGAGUUGUCAAUUUUGUAUAAUAGGAUUUCUUAUCCUGCAAAACCUCAUGGAAAAGUGGACUUUGGGAGCCAGAGGAGGGAUGGGCAGCUCUCAAGUCCUGGCCUGGAUUUAUGUGCCAGAGCCUUGCCCGCGUGACUUAGGGAAGGUCACUUUGCCUCUAUCUGUGGUCAUGCAGGACCCAGUGGGAAGUGACCUUAUGGUUUCUUUUUCCUGCGUUCACUUCUCAUGGAAGAAUUUGCCCAUAUAGUCCUUUGUCUGGAGUGGAGUUGUCUUUGUGGAGCUGAUUGCUAAUAUUAACACAUUAACAUGGAGGAAGGGGCACUUCCCCUGUGAAUCCCUA
rnacentral:sRNA from 1 species